rnacentral:lncRNA from 1 species
GACCAGAGUCAAGAAAGGAUAAUACUGUUCUAAGAACGUGGAUACAUGGCUGUGUAGUAUGGUGGCCCUGAAGAAAUUAAUGGUCUUGAUUUCAAACGAAAGACUCUGGAGAAUGAAUUUCAAGUAUGGGACAAGGAAAAAUUGGCAGUAGUUUCUUUUUUAAUGGAAAUGCUUCCAGAUGCUCAAAUACUAGAGGUGACCAGGAUGUGUAUGCUGUUAUUGCCCUUCUGCAUUCUUGAAUGGACCCUGGUUUAUUUCCUACAUUUUGAGAUUAUCCAGGUCACUCUUCUGAUGUCACAUGUAGUUGUCAAACUUCUUGUGACUAUGUAUAGAAGAACCACCAACAGAGAGAAGCCAAACUGGAGCAGAUGCACUGUGGCUACCUUU